GCCCGAUUAGCUCAGCUGGUUAGAGCGUCGUACUAAUAAUUAUUCCAUAUGGAGUCUUUACCAAGUCAUGCGAAGGUCAACAGUUCAAUCUUGUUAUUAGGCA